CUUAUUUGUACACAGACACAAACUCUCAUCCCAACAAAACCCACCGCCCCAUAUCUGUUCACUCCUUGCCGUGAAAGAAUCCAAUAUACCGUCGAGAAAAAUCCUAGAAAAAUUCCACCCUCUCUUCCAUCUUCUUCUAUACCUCAAUCUGGUCCGCCACUGCAAACCACCACCCAGCAGCCGAUAAAUAGUUCCACACAUUCUAAGUCACAACUGCGCCGCUUUUAUUAUUUCGAUCUCGCCGGAAGAAGCCUGCGUCACCGGAAAAUCCCACUCAUUGGAAAAAUCCCACUACCGUUGUUGGCCACCCCGUUUUUCUCUUUUCUUAGGGUUGAUGUUGACGUUUGAGUGAGUAUGACGGCAAGUAGUGAUCGAGGAUGGAUGUAUAAGAGGCAAGAUAGUCUCGGAUUUCUUUGUAUGCUUUACGUUAGAAAAGCUGCACAACUUUUAGACUUUGCAUACUUGAACGAGGUGACUGUUGAAAAUAAGUUAACAAGAGAAGGUGGGAUGAUAUGCCGAAUCAAAUAUUACACAACUACAAUCAUAGGCUUGCUUGAGGAACGACACCACUAGGCGCAUUCCACGUACUUGAUCAGCCCCUAACACCCUUCAAUCAAGUG